UAUGCAAGAAUGGGGUCUCCUCUCUGUCCAGGGCUAUCUUGGGAGUAGCUGAGUUGUUGUUCUUGUGCCCUUAGAAUCUUGGGUAGCUAACAGCAUGGGGCAAUGCCCAUCUGAAGUGGAAGUUUCCUAGGUACCAGUCACAUCAGCACCAUGGGGUUUUCAACCCAUUUCCUCUUGGUUUCAGCUUUUCAUGAAGUGCCUUUGAAAUCGGACAGGACCACAUGGUAUAUCCUCAAAAGACAUUAUAAAUAGUUGGAGAAGCUUGGAAAUCUCAUGUCGGGUUCUGCAUUCAAUUAGGGAACCAGGACCGACACAGAAGAGCUCUUUGUCCUGCUAUGACAUCUAGAUGCCAACAGGAGCCAAUUGAGCCCACCACUGAUUCCAUCUCUUGUGAGACGGCAAAGCAGCUGUUGCAUGGGAAGGAGGAGACAGAAGAGGCAGAGCAGCAUGUGCCGGGCUGUACCAGCCACACAUAACCCCAUAGUCUAGGUGGAGAAAGCCAAGCCCCUCCCCAGCCCAGCUGGACAUGCUCCAACUGGAGAACCAGUGUGAACUAGGAGCAGCUCAGCUCAUGCUAGGCAGACU